CCUACGGGGGGCAGCAGUGAGGAAUAUUGGUCAAUGGACGAGAGUCUGAACCAGCCAAGUAGCGUGAAGGAUGACUGCCCUAUGGGUUGUAAACUUCUUUUAUAAAGGAAUAAAACGAGGCACGUGUGCCUUUUUGCAUGUACUUUAUGAAUAAGGAUCGGCUAACUCCGUGCCAGCAGCCGCGGUAAUACGGAGGAUCCGAGCGUUAUCCGGAUUGUUUGGGUUUAAAGGGAGCGUAGAUGGGUUGUUAAGUCAGUUGUGAAAGUUUGCGGCUCAACCGUAAAAUUGCAAUUGAUACUGGCAGUCGUGAGUACAGUUGAGGUAGGCGGAAUGCGUGGUGUAGCGGUGAAAUGCUUAGAUAUCACGAAGAACCCCGAUUGCGAAGGCAGCUUACUAAACUGUGACUGACAUUGAUGCUCGAAAGUGUGGGUAUCAAACAGGAUUAGAUACCCCGGUAGUC
rnacentral:rRNA from 1 species